rnacentral:rRNA from 1 species
CACGUAGGGGGCAAGCGUUGUCCGGAAUCAUUGGGCGUAAAGAGCUCGUAGGCGGCUCAGUAAGUCGGGUGUGAAACCUCCAGGCUCAACCUGGAGACGCCACCCGAUACUGCUGUGGCUAGAGUCCAGUAGGGGAGUGUGGAAUUCCCGGUGUAGCGGUGAAAUGCGCAGAUAUCGGGAGGAACACCAGUGGCGAAGGCGGCUCACUGGCCCGGUACUGACGCUGAGGUGCGAAAGCGUGGGGAGCAAACAGG